rnacentral:rRNA from 1 species
AUUGAACGCUGGCGGCAUGCCUAACACAUGCAAGUCGAGCGAGUGAAGGGGGCUUGCUCCUGGAUGCGUCGGCGGACGGGUGGGUAAUGCCUAUGAGUCUGCCUUGUAUUGGGGAAUAGCGUCCUGAAACGGGCGCUAGUAUCGCAUACGACGUGAUGGAGAAAGUGGGGGAUCUUCGGACCUCACGCUUUCAGGUGAGCCUAGGUCGGAUUAGCUAGUUGGUGGGGUAAAGGCCUACCGAGGCGACGAUGCGUAACUGGUCUGAGAGGAUGAUCAGUCACACUGGAACUGAGAAACGGUCCAGACUCUGACGGGAGGAAGCAGUGGGGAAUCUUGCAGGAUGGGCGAAAGCCUGAUCCAGCAAAGCCGCGUGAGUGAAGAAGGUCUUCGGAUUGGAAAGCACUUUAAGUUGGGAGGAAGGGAAGUAAGUUUACCCCUUGCUGUUUUGACGGUACCAACAGAAUAAGCACCGGCUAACUUCGUG